UCAACUGUGAGUUGUUGUCUUACCCUUCGUCCCUUCCCUUCCUUUUCCUGGUUUUUCUCACUACCUUUCCUUUUCAUGCUCCUCCUUCUCUUCUCUAAUUCGCACACGUAAACUAUGGCGGUGGUUGAAUUCCUUUCUACGAAGUGUUUCUUCUGGGGUUUCAAUCAGGGAUUUGAGUUGAUGCAAAUAAAAGCUACAACAAUGGAGGCUACCAUCUAAGGUGUUUGCAAGAAGGUGCUUUGACCCACCAUAGGAUUCUUUUAUAGGAAGCCACCUGAUCGGCUUCUCGAAAUUUCUGACCGAGUUUUCGUGUUUGAUUGCUGCUUCUCCACGGAUGUGUUGAAUGAAGAUGAGUACACAGAAUACCUUGGUGGUAUUGUAACACAGCUACAGGACUAUUACCCAGAUGCCUCAUUCAUGGUGUUUAACUUUAGAGAAGGGGAUCGAAGGAGUCAUAUUGCUGAUAGAUUGUCUGAUUAUGAUAUGACGGUUAUGAAAUAUCCUCGUCAAUAUGAGAAAUGUCCUUUGCUUCCCCUGGAAAUGGUCCACCACUUCCUGUGCUCCAGUGAGAGCUGGCUGUCGUUGGAGGGACAGCAAAAUGUAUUGCUGAUGCACUGUGAAAGAGGUGGCUGGCCUGUCCUUGCUUUAAUGCUUACAGGUCUUCUUUUAUACAGAAAGAACUAUUCCGGCGAGCAAAAAACACUUGAAAUGGUCUACAAGCAGGCCUCGAGGGAACUACUUCAGCUUUUGUCUCCUUUAGAUAUCUUCAGUGUAUAUCCCGAAGAAGUUUGUUUAGGCUCUGAUUGGCCUCCUUCUGACACUCCUCUCAUUCUAGAUUGUUUAAUACUUAGAGUCCUUCCUUUGUUUGCUGGGGGUAAAGGCUUAGUACAUUAUCAUAUUAUGUGUUUCAGGGUGAGAAAUAUGGCAAGAUUAUAGCAAUGUGUGCCCAUGAUCCUGAAUUCCAUCACUACACAGAGCUCAAUGAACUUCCUCCUCACCGCCUUGCUGAAAUCUGCUGUUUUUUUUUUUUUUUUUUUUUUUUUUUUUUUUUUUUUUUUUUUUGAAGACUGUAUCCUGUGCCUGUCAUUUUAGACCUCUAGAGAUUAUUGGUCCCAUUUUAUAACUUUUAUUUCUCUUCUACUUCCAUAUAAGGUUGCCUUCACAGAAAUCAUGGAUAAGAAGAACGAGAAUAAGAGUGCUGCAGUGAAUUAUUUUCUGCCAGCUGUAGAUGCGAUUGCUGCCAUCAAAUAUUCAAUCUCAAACUAGAUGAAAUUGCCGUUGUUGUGAAGGGUUUCAAGGAGCCCGAAACCCUUACACCGACUAGGUUACACCUUGGUGGAGCCAAGUACAUAUUUAUUAAACAUGAACCUGAGGCUGUUAUUCGCGGAAAGAAGAUGUCUUGGAUUGCAUCAUAAUCAAAACCUAGGUAUACAGGCACCAAAGUGGUCUAAAUCAAACUCUCUCUAACUCAUUCUCACUUUCUCUCUGCUCUCAGACAAAGACGACGGUGACUUCAUUCUUCUGAUGACUGAUGCUCUUUGCAAGAGGUGCAGUGUGAGAAAAGUUAGUCUUGUAGAUAACUAGAUAUCAUACAAGCUGGUCAUGGUGAUCACUAUCAGACGGAUGACUUGCAGGAUCAUAUUAUUAUAUGUGGAUUUGGACAUGUAGGCCAGAUCAUAGCUCAGCUCCUGUAAGAACGUUUGAUACCAUUUGUUGCCCUUGAUGUUAGAGAUUUGACCUUUGGAUUCGGCAAAGAUGGUGUCAUUUGAGAUGGGUGAUAGAAAAAGUUGGGGCUGAAAGAGCUUGUGCUGCAGCAAUAACAUUGGACACUCCUGGACUCCUGGUGCAAAUUAUAGAACUGUUUGGGCUUUGAGCAAGCACAACCCUUGACCAAUGAUCUGCCACUAUUAAGCUUGACCAAUUUUACCUGGUGGACUUGUUUGGAAUAAGAAACUACAAUAAUUCAAUAUAUAGACAUUGGUUGCUUAUCUCUUAUUUACUUGGACUUUAUGGAACUCCUGAGCUCUUUAUAUCAUAUUUUGUUCAUGAGAACAGCUGGGAUUGUUUUUUGUUUAAUAAUAUUUGGCAUUGAUUUCUAUAGAAGUUAAUUCUAUACACAAGGAAUUAGGUUCUCAUUUCUUAAUAGAUAUCUUGAUUUGAACUUGAAUUCCUUCCACCAAAAUAUUCUGGAAUUAUAUCUUUUCCUGCAAUCAAAGCAUCAAAAUCUAUUUUAAGCAAUCUUUAAAAGGUUUAUAUGUCAUAUUUUUAGUAAGCUCAUAAAUUUUUCUCUUACCUUGUCUAGCCAUUGCUGGUUGUUAAUUUAUGUUUUGUAUUUUAAUAGCUAAUCUAUUUGUGCUAUGGCGAAAUUGCCUCAGUAUUCAUUGUCGACUCUUGACUUUGUUUUGAGAGAUAAAUACAGUUGUUUAUGAAAUACAGUUUGUGCAUAACUGUUAUUUCUUUAAACUUCCUCUCCCAAUUUUCUAUCAUCGACUACCAAGCAAAGGAGUUUCUUGCUGCUUUGAAUCUGGUUCUAAUAAAGGGAUAAGAAAAUUUAUAUGGCUUUAAAGGAGAAAAAACUCUUCUAUACAAUGGGGAUUGAUUUAAAGAUACGAAAUAGAAUUAAAUCGGAGUUGGGUGUUCAAAUUUUAAACUGAAGCUAUAGAGUUAAUUGAUAUAGGAGCAUUUAUUUAUUUUUACUAUGUUAGUUAUUGUACGUCGAUUUUCGUUUUUUUAAGUUUCAACUUGUGAAUUUUAUGUAUGAUAAUAAAGCUCAUUUAGUUUGAACUUC